AGACCGAUAGCGAACAAGUAGAGUGAUCGAAAGAUGAAAAGCACUUUGAAAAGAGAGUUAAAAAGUACGUGAAAUUGUUGAAAGGGAAGCGCUUGCGGCCAGACUUGCCCGCGGUUGCUCAGCCCGCCUUUUGGCGGGUGCACUCUUCCGCGGUCAGGCCAGCAUCGGUUUGGGCGGUCGGAUAAAGGCGCCGGGAACGUGGCCUCCCCUCGGGGAGGUGUUAUAGCCCGGCGCGCAAUGCGGCCAGCCCGGACCGAGGUUCGCGCUUUGCUAGGAUGCUGGCGUAAUGGCCGUAAGCGGCCCGUCUUGAAACACGGACCAAG
rnacentral:rRNA from 1 species